CAUCAUAUAGGCUAUAAAAUCCCCUUGCAAGGAGUUUUUGUUUCUGCAGAAUGCAUGCCAUCACUUUUACUCUUCAUACUUUAAAGGGGUCAUAGGAUGCCCAUUUUCCACAAGUUGAUAUGAUUCUUUAGGGUCUUAAUGGAGAGUCUGUAACAUAGUUUGGUUAAAAUUUCUCAAUGGUAGUGUAAAACCCAUUUUUUCUACCUGUCAAAAACAGUUCUUUUCAGAGCACACAGUUCAGUAGGAUUUCCAUUUCCAAAGCCGACCUCAUACAUCAUCAGCCCGGAGCUGCUUCCGUGUACAACAGUGAGCGCAAGCUACAUUAAAGAAAUUAUUACGUUUUGAAUAUGGAUAUUUUUCAUACAAAAAUGCAUCAAUUCGCUAGAGGAGGCCUUUGCUCACCCCCCGGAGCCAUGUGAGACACUUUUUUUAAUGGAUGGGCGCUUUUUAUUUCUCUGCUUUUGGACUGAUGCAUGUAACACCUGCUGAGUGGCAUUAAACAGCUUGAAAGAUCAAAGACAAUUUUUAAUAUAAGUCUGACUGGAUUCGUCUGAAAGAAGAAAGUCAUAUACACCUAGGAUGACUUGAGGGUGAGUAAUUAAUGGGUUAAUUUUUUUUUUUUUUUUUGGGGUGAACUAACCCUUUAAUGAUGACUGUUAUGUUCAUUAUUACAUUCAACAACAGAACACCUUAAUCUCUUAGGAGUCAUUCUUGUCUACAUCUGCUCCAGCGUCGAAACAAUGGCGGACUGAUGACAGCUCACUCAGGGCGGGUCUAAGGUGGGUGGCCAACUUCACGAAGGUCAACACAGUGAGGCUGUGAAUGUCAGAACAUCUGAACAUUAAGUGCAGCACAAACUUCUCUGAUCCAGACAGCUACGACUUGGUAUUUUCUUGUGGGACCAGCAUGGAGGUGACCAGGUUGCCAUAUUUGUUGAGCAGCAAAAGGGUACAGCGGAGGUGAAGCUCCUUAUUCUGAAGCAGAAGGGGGGAGAGGUCUGUGGAAAGGUUGGACUUCACUGUUCUGUAAACAGAGUGGUGAUCAUCAACAGUUCAGACUAUAAGCUCGAAGAUGUGCAGAUCUGCGAUGGAACGGGUGAGAUGAAGGUCAGCUUCAUCAACGUAGCAUGAGGCCGGCAACUCCUAUGUUUUCAAGAACCUUUCUAUGCAAGAGAGAUGGGUGCUUAUGCAUGUGCACUGGUCCAUCCAGUACCAUGGAGCAGAUCUCUGACUUUGAGGUGGUGGAGGGAGAAGGCAGGCAGCAGGAAGACAGAUCAACAGCACUUCUCAGUCCCACAAUAAAGGGCAUAGAGGUGACGAUUCAAUGGUGGUGUUCCAGCUGCCAGUACAAGCAGAGGGAGUUUGUGGAGAAGUCAAACAUGCACAGGUGCGAGGGCUGCAGACUGUAACAGGUGUCGCUGUCAUUCUCCGCCUCUUUUGGAGGGAAAGCUACUAUCUGCACUGAAAACGGCAAGGAGAGUGUACCAGUGUGUUCAAUGAUGUGGAGUUAACGCAAGACUGAGAAGAUUUUACCUGCUACCCAAGAUCCACAAGGACCCGGGUAGUUGGAGCAUACCCAGCCAGAUGAAGGGAAUGGCCAUGGGAAAGAAGUUUGCUCCCUCCUAUGCCAAUAUUUUUAUGGCAGAAUGGAAGGAAACAGCCCUAGCCAUGGCUGUAAAAAAGCCUCUGAUCUAAUACAGAUUUUGGAUGACAUCUAGGGCAUCUGGACCCACUCGCUGGAGAUGAUUUUCACAAAUUAUCACAAACCAUUUGGACACUUACCAGCGAUCUAUUAAUAUCCAACUCACUGACUGUAUACUUUCUGGAUGUUGUCUUUUACAAAGGGCCC
ensembl:lncRNA